rnacentral:rRNA from 1 species
UGAGCAACCUGCCCUACGCUUUGGGAUAACCCUCGGAAACGGGGGCUAAUACCGAAUAUUCAUUGCCUGUCGCAUGGUGGGUGGUGGAAAGUUUUUCGGCGUGGGAUGGGCUCGCGGCCUAUCAGCUUGUUGGUGGGGUAAUGGCCUACCAAGGCGACGACGGGUAGCCGGCCUGAGAGGGCGACCGGCCACACUGGGACUGAGACACGGCCCAGACUCCGUACGGGAGGCA